rnacentral:rRNA from 1 species
UACGUAGGUGGCGAGCGUUGUCCGGAUUUACUGGGCGUAAAGAGCGCGCAGGCGGCUGGUCAAGUCCGAUGUGAAAGCUCCCGGCUUAACUGGGAAAUUGCAUCGGAAACUGAUCGGCUGGAAGGUGGGAGAGGGUAGCGGAAUUCCCGGUGUAGUGGUGAAAUGCGUAGAUAUCGGGAGGAACACCAGUGGCGAAAGCGGCUACCUGGCCCGACACUGACGCUGAGGCGCGAAAGCUAGGGGAGCAAACGGG